rnacentral:piRNA from 1 species
UGAGAGGCUGAAGAGAAUCAUCCCUCAUUU